rnacentral:rRNA from 1 species
AUGGCAGAAGUACAGGCAGAAAACCCAAUAAUGGAUGAAAGCUGGUUUAUACGAUGCUAUGUCAAUGGUCUUCGUUCCCACAUCAAGUUUCAAGUGCAUCCAUUACGGCCUGCUUCACUCACUGAAGCUUACUGGUUAGCCGUGGAUCUAGAAAGGGCACUACCUGAGAAGAAAUCUUACAGCUCAUAUGCAGGCAAUGGCAAAAGCUCAAGCAACUAUCAGAAAACACCAACUCCUCUUCCUGAAAAACCAACUGAACCCAAACAAGUUGCAGUGAAUCAAAGGGCUAGAGAGCCAGGCAAGUGCUGGAGAUGUGGAGAUAUAUGGUUCCAUGGUCACAAGUGUAAACUUGCACCUGUCCUGAAUGUCCUUAUAGGUGAAGAACCAACUGAACAACCCACAGAGCAGGAAGUACUGGAAGAAACUGAACUUGAGGAGCAACCACAAACUGAAGAAAAAUGUAUGACCAUUUCGGCUCAGGCAAUGCAAUCAGAUAAUGUCAACACUAUCUCAAUUUUAGUGCAGAUUGGAGGAAAGCAAGGAAUUGCACUUGUAGACUCAGGGAGCAAUUCCACAUUCAUCAGCCUUAAGUUUGCAUUAUCUACAAACUGCACUAUCCUCAAGGACACUUCCAGAGCUGUAAUAGUUGCAGGUGGGGGCACAUUGUGGUCUGGUGCUUUUGUACCCACAACCACUUUUAUAGCAGGCAAUACCAAAUUUGAACAACAGUUCAGAGUGCUUGACCUCCCUGGUCAUGAUAUGGUACUUGGAAGUGAUUGGAUGGCUAACCACAAUCCUGUCUCCUUCCACUACAACCCCAGACAAAUCACUGUUAUGCAGAACAAGUUCACACCGGUCACCAUUAAAGCUUGUGACACCAUAGCAGAAGCCACACCAAUUGAAGCUGCAGAAGUGGAUAAGCUCAUGGCAGCAGGAGCACCUGGUUAUGUCCUACACCUCAUAAGGGACACCACAAUGAAAAAACCUGCCAACAACACAAUUCCUCCACCUGUAGAGGAAGUGAUACAACAAUUUCCUGAAGUUUUCCAAGAGCCCAAAGGUCUUUCCCCCAAGAGGUCACAUGACCAUAAAAUCCCAUUGAAGGAAAAGGAAAAACCACCUAACUCUAGGCCCUAUAGAGUGCCUCAUAUGCAGAGAAAUGAGUUAGAAAGGCAGAUUGAUGGCAUGCUCAGGGAUAAAAUUAUUAGAGCUAGUGAAAGCCCUUACUCCUCUCCAGCAAUACUAGUUAUGAAAAAGGAUGGCACUUGGCGAAUGUGCAUUGAUUACAGAAAGUUGAAUGCUGCUACUAUCAAGAAUAAGUUCCCUAUUCCUGUCAUUGAGGACUUACUUGAUGAACUGCAUGGAGCAACUUACUUCACCAAGUUAGACCUGAGAUCAGGCUAUCACCAGGUCAGAAUGAGUGAAGAAGAUAUACCAAAGACAACUUUUAGAACAUAUUUUGGCCACUAUGAGUUUCUGGUAAUGCCCUUUGGCCUUGCUAAUGCACCUGGGACGUUUCAAGCACUAAUGAACAACAUCUUUGGCCCUUAUCUUAGAAAGUUUGUCUUGGUUUUCUUUCACGACAUAUUAAUCUUCAGUAAGUCACUUACUGAACACAUAGCCCACUUGCAAAUAGUGUUGCAGUUACUCAAGGAACAUCAACUCUUUGCAAAAAUGUCAAAGUGUGUGUUUGGAGUGCAACAAGUUGAGUAUUUGGGCCACAUCAUCACUGGAGAGGGUGUUUCCAUUGAUUCAGCCAAGGUAGCAGCAAUUGCUGACUGGCCAUUACCUACUACUCCAACACAACUUCGAGGAUUUCUGGGUUUAUGUGGCUAUUACAGAAGAUUUGUCAAAAUUUUUGGAACCAUUGCCAGGCCACUGCAUGAUGUUCUGAGGAAAGACAGUUUCCAAUGGACACAAACCCAAACCCAGGCAUUUCAGGAUUUAAAACAAGCAAUGGUCAGUGCUCCAGUCCUUGCCGUACCUAACUUCUCUGAACCCUUUACAUUGGAAACAAAUGCUUCUGGAGUAGGAUUGGGAGCAGUAAUGAUGCAGCAAGGUAGCCUCUAG